ensembl:processed_transcript Gm4651 predicted gene 4651
GUCUGUGAACCAGGCUCUGCAAUAGUCAAAAGGCAAAGGGCGGCAGGGCAGGUGUGAGGUGGGUGUUUUCUUCUGUGUGAAACUGUAGAAGAAAGCCGAGAAGCGCCAGGGAAGAGCUUGCUAAGGAAAAAGAAAAAAUGUGAAAUCUGAAAAUGCUCCGGCUGGCUGUGUGUCCCAGACCACCAGGGAGCGCACCUGUCCCCUCCCCCACCCCACAAAGGCUGACAGUGGAAGCUUUUGUUCCAAGAGGCAGCCUGUGACAUCUUUCCCAGCUCUCCUCGCCAGGCAAGGAGCCAGCGUUUCAGGAAAGCUUGGGCAUGCAGGUGUGUUUCCAAGGGUUCCAAGCGUCAGAGAGUGCAGGGCAGACAAGAAGAGAAUGUGGCCAAUCCACAGAUCCGGUUUCCACUGGGGCAUUGCGGCUGGAGGCUUCCAGGCCUUGGCGAUGUGCAGUUUUACUUUGCUCCAGAAAAUAUUAGCAAUCUUAUGAAUGGAGCUAUAUGGCCAAAGUUAGAAUAAGAAAGGAGGAGUGUGUGUCUGUGUGUCUACAAGUCAUAUUAUUACAGGAAGCCCUAACAAUAAAACUGGAGGCAGAGGGCACAGAGCGACUCACCCUCUGCUCUGCAGAGCACUCUCUGCAGUUUGUCCAGCAGCCAUGCAGCCGGACUCCUGGAUGUGAAACAGCGACCAGGCUGAAGGGAACAAGCUUCAAGACAUGGGCCCAGGCCACUCAAACCUACAGGAUAGAUACUUUCCUUUGACUUGGGUUUUGUUUCGGUUCUUAGUUACAGUUUUUACAGUGCUGUGGAACCAACCCAGGAUGUAUGGAAGUUAGGCAAGUGUUGCACCCUCUGCCUUGGGCAACUGCAUUUUUAACGGAGGGUGCAGUGAGCAUGAUAAGGGACUUUUUUUUUUUACACAGCACCCCAUGGUGAAGGGAGGUGGGCGAGAACUGGACAAGAACAGGGAUGUCAACACGACUACACGGAUACACGGAUAUCACUGCUUGUGUAAUCGACAACACAGUACACCUCUGUGCUCCUACAACCUUCUAUAUGCAACUGAUACAUAGAUUAAAUAUAUAAUAAUCAGAUAAAAUAUCUCCAUCAUACACGAUGUAACUUCCUUUAUGACACAGCGAGGCUAGCUGAGUGUGAUGGUCUACACCUGUAGUCCCAGUGCUCAGGGUGCAGAGGCAGGAGGCUCCCAAGACUGAGGUCACCUUGGACUAAAUGCAUUCCUUGCCAGCCUGAGCCAGACUAACUUAAUACAAGCAAGUAAACAAACAAAGAUAAAGUUAGGUAGUAGGAGCAAACCAAGACAAUACCAAUGUAGCUGGGUGUGGUACACGCCUUUAAUCCCAGCAUUUGGAAGGCAGAAAAGGGCAGGUCUCAGAAUUUGAGGCCUGGACUGCAUAGCAAGAUCCAGGCCAGCCAGGGCUGCAUAAUUAAGACCUUGUCUUUA